UGCCAGCCGCCGCGGUAAUACGAAUGGAGCGAGCGUUGUUCGGAAUCAUUGGGCGUAAAGCGUAUGUAGGCGGACUAGAAAGUCGGGAGUGAAAUCCCAGGGCUCAACCCUGGAAUUGCUUCCGAAACUUCUAGUCUAGAGUCCCGGAGAGGUGAGGGGAAUUCCGAGUGUAGAGGUGAAAUUCGUAGAUAUUGGGAAGAACACCAGUGGCGAAGGCGGCUAACUGGCUCGGUACUGACGCUGAGAUGCGAAAGCGUGGGGAGCAAACAGGAUUAGAUA
rnacentral:rRNA from 1 species